GCCAGAAAUAAGGUCGGUGGGCAACUGCCCCAUAGAAAAGAAGUCUGGUGACAGCAGAGUCUCUGUGGAUGCUGGUACAUAGAGUGACCAGGAGCUGGUUAACAGAAGUGUUACAGCUACAGGGGCUUUGCAGAAGCAGAUCUGCACACACUCCUGAUAAUGUCACCCAUGCUCCCUUCCACUGCUGUCAGCUGCAAGAGCAUCCUUUUGGCCCAUGGUGAUUUUGAAGGUGAAAAAUGCAUGUUUCAAGGCUCUCCUCCUCUGUGGAGGUGAUGAGGGUAGGUACGAUCUAUGGCCUAUGAGCCGCCUUCCAUGUCUGACAAACAGUGCCAUUGACUUCGUGGAAAUUGUGUUUGCAUUUUUGGCAGCUCAUGUUUCUGUCAGGUUUGGAUACCGUGUUUGUAUUUGUUGCAUCAGUAUGUAGGUAGAUGUGUACACAUGCCCUGCAGUUCUGGAACUCUGACACCCCUGACAAAGGGAUGGCAGCCACACAGCCUGCUUGCAGUGCUGACAAUCAGAGAGAGAAGAAACUUCGAGGAUGGAAGAGCUUUUUAUUGCAGACUGCACCUUGACUUGAAAGGCGUGCCAAGAUCAGCACUGGCCAUGAUAUUCCAGCAGCGAGGCCAGAAACUGCCAGAGAUCAGCAAGGAGAAAACUGGUGGAUUGCAGCCACGCUGACUACUCUGCUCUCAAGAAAAAGGCGCAGGGAGUGUCACAAAGUUUUUCUGCAUGUGCCAUAGUCUUGACAGAGAGGCAGCUUUGCUGAGUUAGCUCUCAGGGGUGCCAGGUGUAAUGUGUCCACUAAAAUCUGACUGGAGACCACCAAGUUUCUCACAUUCUCACUUUAUGAGAUUUAGUCAAAUGAUUUCUUUUGCAGUUACCUUGCCUUUCUUAUCUGAUGAAACUGUGGGUACAUUAAAUUUUAGAAUUUUACUUCUUUCUCUGUUGUCUAGAAUGUGACAAGAUCAAAUUUCCCCCUUCUGUCA